UGGGGAAUUUUGCGCAAUGGGCGAAAGCCUGACGCAGCAACGCCGCGUGAGUGAUGAAGGCCUUCGGGUCGUAAAGCUCUGUCAGAGGGGAAGAACCACCUGGAGGGUAAUAUCCUUCAGGCCUGACGGUACCCUCAAAGGAAGCACCGGCUAACUCCGUGCCAGCAGCCGCGGUAAUACGGAGGGUGCAAGCGUUGUUCGGAAUUAUUGGGCGUAAAGCGCGUGUAGGCGGUCUGUUAAGUCUGAUGUGAAAGCCCCGGGCUCAACCCGGGAAGUGCAUUGGAAACUGGCAGACUUGAGUACGGGAGAGGGUAGUGGAAUUCCGAGUGUAGGGGUGAAAUCCGUAGAUAUUCGGAGGAACACCGGGUGGCGAAGGCGGCUACCUGGACCGAUACUGACGCUGAGACGCGAAAGCGUGGGGGAGCAAACAGGAUUAGAUACCCUGGUAGUCCACGCCGUAAACGAUGGGUACUAGGUGUUGCGGGUAUUGAUCCCUGCAGUGCCGAAGCUAACG
rnacentral:rRNA from 1 species